CAACCCAGGAUUAGCAUAUAAUAAGUGCUUGAAUGGUGGAUAGGUUAGACAUGAGAAACAUUCCAGUCUGUAGUCAACAUUGAGGCUAUAUUUCUAGCAAAUCAUAUCCCAGAGACUUACUAGUCAGCAGCCAUAGGCUAAGCACCAGGUUUGGUGAGAUCCCUGUCUCCAGAACUGAAGGAGAGAGCCACAGAGGGAGGUAAUAUACAGCUGCCAUCUAUUCUUGAACAUUGGAGUACACUCACAUUGAUAAGGUUAGUUGAAGGAAGAAAAUUGGUGCUUCAAAGAUUCUUUCAUUAUUUUACAGCUAGCAACUUUUAAUGUGUUGUAGUCAUAUUCAAAAAUCAAAAUUUUCUUAUUCAAUCAAGCAAAGAAUAUUUGAAGUUUUGUUCUGUUGGGAUUUAAUAUGUCAUUUAUCAUAAGCAGUUGAAAAUAAUUAAUAAAUUUUAGAAUCAAUGUUUUAAAACCUAA
rnacentral:lncRNA from 1 species